UUGCUGGUGGCAUGCCUAGCACUCAAUUAAAGAAGGACCGAAAAUGACAAGACCCGACCCAAAUUUCGCUUUGGAAUCCGAGCCGGACCCUGUGCGUGUCCAACACCUGGCGGGGGCACGAAUGACCUAAUUGCCCUUCCCUACAAAGCACGAAAAAAUAACAAGGUUGACUCCUACCGAAAAAUCAGCAGAGUCUCCCUUGAAAAUUGG
rnacentral:lncRNA from 1 species